rnacentral:rRNA from 1 species
AUUGAACGCUGGCGGCAGGCUUAACACAUGCAAGUCGAGCGGAGAUGAGGUGCUUGCACCUUAUCUUAGCGGCGGACGGGUGAGUAAUGCUUAGGAAUCUGCCUAUUAGUGGGGGACAACAUUCCGAAAGGAAUGCUAAUACCGCAUACGUCCUACGGGAGAAAGCAGGGGAUCUUCGGACAUUGCGCUAAUAGAUGAGCCUAAGUCGGAUUAGGUAGUUGGGGGGGUAAAGGCCUACCAAGGCGACGAUCUGUAGAGGGACUGAGAGGAUGAUCGGCCACACUGGGACUGAGACACGGCCCAGACUCCUACGGGAGGCAGCAGUGGGGAAUAUUGGACAAUGGGGGGAACCCUGAUCCAGCCAUGCCGCGUGUGUGAAGAAGGCCUUAUGGUUGUAAAGCACUCUAAGCGAGGAGGAGGCUACUGAGACUAAUACUCUUGGAUAGUGGACGUUACUCGCAGAAUAAGCACCGGCUAACUCUGUGCCAGCAGCCGCCGUAAGAC